rnacentral:rRNA from 1 species
AUUGAACGCUGGCGGCAGGCCUAACACAUGCAAGUGGAGCGAGCGGAGGACGGGUUAGUAGUGCUUGCGAGUGUCCCAGUCGCGGGGGCAACCAGUUGGGAACGACUGCUAAUACCUCAUACGAGUGGAAUGCCCAGGUGUGAUUAGGUAGUUGGUGAGUUAAUGGCUCACCAAGGCGACGAUCCCUAGCUGAUCUGAGAGGAUGGUCAGCCACACUGGAACGGAGAAACGGUCCAGGAUCCUACGUGCGGCAGCAGUGGGGAAUAUUGCAGAAUGGGGGAAACCCUGAUGCAGCCAGGCCGCGUGGGUGAAGAAGGCCUUCGGGUUGUAAAGCACUUUCUGCGAGGAGGCGUUACUCGCACAAGAAGCACCGGCUAACUCCGUGCCAGCAGCCGCGGUAAUAC